CCUACGGGGGGCUGCAGUGGGGAAUAUUGCGCAAUGGGCGAAAGCCUGACGCAGCGACGCCGCGUGAGGGAUGAAGGUCUUCGGAUCGUAAACCUCUGUCAGCAGGGAAGAACGGUCACUGUGCUAAUCAGCAGUGAAUUGACGGUACCUGCAAAGGAAGCACCGGCUAACUCCGUGCCAGCAGCCGCGGUAAUACGGAGGGUGCGAGCGUUGAUCGGAAUUACUGGGCGUAAAGCGCUCGUAGGCGGUAUGUCAAGUCAAGGGUGAAAUCCCCGCGCUCAACGUGGGAACUGCCUUUGAAACUGGCAGACUGGAGUGUGAGAGAGGAUAGUGGAAUUCGAGGUGUAGGGGUGAAAUCCGUAGAUAUCUGGAGGAACAUCAGUGGAGAAGGCGACUAUCUGGCACAUAACUGACGCUGAGGAGCGAAAGCGUGGGUAGCGAACAGGAUUAGAUACCCGGGUAGUC
rnacentral:rRNA from 1 species